rnacentral:lncRNA from 1 species
AUAGGCAACUUUCAUAGUAGGAUUUGGGAUUGGCAUUUGAUAGCAUCGGUUUGGUGCAGUGAGAAGUGAAAACCGAUGUAGCUCUUUCAUGCAUGACGAAAAUUAAGGUGCUAACUUAGACUUGUUGACUCGUUUAGUUUGGUAAUGCCUUUAGCUUAUCCUUCCUUCCUAGUCUCAUGUAGGUUGAUUGAGUCACGGAUUAAUCGAAUGCUAUUAACAAAAUUAACUACAAUAUUUUUAUUCAAGGAAAAAUUACACUAACUUUCUCAUACAUAUCUUUUAAAUUCAAAACCACAUCCCCUAUAGCUAUUAAACAUAAAAACACUCACUUACCACCAAAAUAGUAUUCUUCUUCAUCUGUAUAUUGUUUGAAUACCAACCUUUCUUCAAAGAAACUAAUAAUAAACAUGAAGUACAAGGAAAAAUAAGAGAAAUACAAAUAUUUUAAUAUUAAUAGAUAACAAACACAAUGAUGAUAGCUCAAUAUUAACGUGACCUGAUAGGAUCAAUAAAUAAUUAUUAAAAUAAAUCCUGAUAUCAUAAAAAAAUCAAUAUCUAAUUUAAUUAUAUAAAACCGAAUAAUUAGUAUAAGAUAAGAAUUCAUUAGAGAAAAAAAAGAUACAAUUUUUUUUUUUACUAUAUCCGUAAUUGACAUGGAAUACUUAACAAAAUUUGUCUCAAAUCAAACUUAAGAAUGUAUAACAAAAUUAGGCCCAGUCUUGAUCAUACUUUUGAUUUAAACUUUGCCACGUCUCUUCCUAUUCAAAUUCUAUGUUUAUGUGACCCAACAAUUUGUGGAUGUAAUAGCCUGGAAUUUAAUAUUAUUGGGUUUGUUUAAUUUCAAAGUACUUUGCGUCUUGUUAGAAGUUGAAAGGCUUAUAAUGUAAGGGUAUUGUUAAUCAAUGUUUAAAAAAUUAAGAGUUUUUUUUAUUAAAAAUUAUAUGAAAAUAUAUUUUAAAAUUAUAAGAAAAUACAAUUUUUUCAUAUUCUAAUAAAAAAAUUCCUUUCAACUCCUUUACCAUUGUCUUAAUUGCCUUAAAGACACUAAUUAACAUUUAUCAUAAUAUAAUAGACUUAUAAAUACUCUUUUUCUUGUUGUUAAUGUAUCUUUAAUGUAAAUAUUUAAUUUGAGUUUUAAACUUUUUUUAAUGAAUCUUUUACUGUCACAGGAUUUAAGAAUAAUAGCUAAUUUUUACUAUAAUAGAAGAAUUUAAUUUAGGUUCUUAAUUUAUUUUUAGUCUACCGUGUUUUAUCUUUUUACUCAUAUAAUAACCUUUAUUUUGAUUUAAAAAUUAUUUUUUUAAUGGUUAAACAACUUUAUUUGUGGAGGAAAACAUGCAUAAACACACACAUGACCCCAGGCACCCAUUUUUUAUGUUUAAUAGCAUUUUUAAGAUGAUACUGUAAAAUAAAAAAAACAAAAAAAAAACAGCAUUUAUAAGAUUGAAACCACUGACUAUUUGAUUGGACUCUUAGAAAUUGCCGAUAGGCAUCGUGCCAUUGCCAUAUGCUUUUUUGAACUGCUUCUGUCUGGCUUGUGCUUUUGUCCUAAGCAGUUCAGAAAAGCAGAAAAUAAAACUUGGAUUGUACCUGAUCUCCUGUCCGUACCACAGUUUUGUUCACGGGGGCAUGGAAUCUUCAAUCCUGUUUUUGUUGAUACGUAUGAUUCAGAUUCUGCAAAUCAUUUCAAUCAUGAAAUCAACAGUAAACCCCAUUAAAUGCAAACCAUUGUAUCAGGAGUGGUGACAAAUGUAUGUGAGGGGCGGAGCCUGCAAAAACGGACUUGGCUGUUUUCAAAACCCGUACAGCCCAUUGUUUGUUUUUCAAAGAGUUAAUA